GUUGAACGCUGGCGGCAGGCCUAACACAUGCAAGUCGAGCGGAUGAACGAGGCUUUCUCCUGGCUGCCGUGACGGGCGGGCGGGUGAGUCACACGAGGAUGCCCGGUCUAGGGGGCUGACGUCACGACAGGGGAGCUAAUCCCACACCGGAUCAGAGGGUGAAAGUCAUGGUUCUUCGGAGAUAGAGCUAUCAGCUGACCCUAGGUCGGAUUAGCUAGUUGGUGGGGUAAAGGCCUACCAAGGCGACGAUCCGUAACUGGUCUGAGAGGAUGAUCAGCCACACUGGAACUGAGACACGGUCCAGACUCCUACGGGAGGCAGCAGUGGGGAAUAUUCGACAAUGGGCGAAAGCCUGAUGCAGCCAUGCCGCGUGUGUGAAGAAGGUCUUCGGAUUGUAAAGCACUUUUAGUUGGGAGGAAGGGCAGUAAGUUAAUCCAUUGCUGUUUUGACGGUACCAACAGAAUAAGCACCGGCUAACUUCGUG
rnacentral:rRNA from 1 species